UUGUGUGACCCACGGCAAGUCACUCGACCCCUCUGGGUCUCGGCUGCCCUGUCUAUGAAAUGGGGAUAAUCGUGUGUUUCCCCAGGUCACUAAGAGCACGAGAUGAACGACAGCAGACAGUGUCCUGCCCCCAGGGAAAGAAUGAGGAGGAUGAUGGUGCUGGAGUCGAGACCAGCUCUGCCCUGUGUGACCCUGGGCAGGGCAUUCACCUCUCUGAGCCUCAGUUUGCCCCCCACGCCCUGUAAAGUGAGAGGAUUGGAUAAGAUGGCGUCUUCAUUGUUUCAGCACUUAUGACAAGGCCCUCCAUCCAAGUAACAAACAAAAGGGAAACACAAAGCCUGUGACUGGACUCAACAGCUGUGUCAUCCUGAGCCCAGAACCUUCUAGAAUGGGGCUGGGGGAGGGGAAGAUAUGCACCCUCUCCCCACGGGGCUAGGGACUCAUCUCUGCCUGUCUUCCCAGGCCCCAGGUUUCAGGCCCCGAACAGCCUGAGUCCACAGGGUGACAGGGUGUGGGAAAGGCCAACGGGCGUGUGGGUCUCCAGCCUUUGCUCAUCCUCGGGAAAUGCAUCGUGCGUUGCUUUUCCCGUCUGGGAGUCUAAUAGUCAGCAGUUAUUUAUCGUCUCGUUUCUUAGUGGGUAGGAAAGCCACAAAUAAGUAAACUCAGGCAGC
rnacentral:lncRNA from 1 species